UCAGGUUGUGAGCUAUUUGCGCGACAUCUGCCGGGAGAAUGCAAUAUUUAAGUACAGAAUGAUACAUUAUUUGGAAUCAAACUUUAAACUGUAUGGUCGAAUUUCGGUGAUGUGUGUAAUGUGUAUAUUAUACAAAGGCCGAAGAAUAUAACGGAGUUUUCUUAGAACAUCUUUUGUACGUUUCUAUUAAGAUGUCUCAAAAGAGUCGUGUUAUUAACCUGUACAAAACGGUUUUUGGCCUCCAGAAUUACAACAGUAAGCUUGCCUGCUGUGGGGACAUAUCUCAGAGAGAAGCAGAUAUCACCCAACUUGUUUUCCUGCACAAGCAAUAAGGUUUGUUACAGACUGCUCUGCCUCCUCAGAUGCUGAAGCAGCAUGCAAAUGAGUCGAAGGGCACAACCAUAUACAGAGGCCAAAAGCAGAGCAGAGUAAAUUUGGGGGAAAAAGAGAGAGAAAGAAUCAACAUGAAUAACUGCUCCGAUCCAAACGACCGAAUACUGGUCCGUAUUUGGUUUCGUUGUUCCGAGCUGAGUGAGACUGCCUGCGACAACUGCAUUCCUUCCUGAGCGGGCGGGAUUCCACUUUCGACCAUGUGGCUCAUAUCCAUCAACUACUUUGCUCUACCAUAGUUAAUUCACCUAUGUGAAAACUAGUAAAUGAUAUCCAAAAUAACUUACAAAAUAAUAUGUUUGUGUCCAAUGAAACAACUUGACACGUCAAGUAAAUCAAGACACUAGACACCCAAAUAUAGAAGAUAUGAUCAUUCAAAUCUCCAUUAUUAUACUUAAUUUUAUAAACUGAAUUCAGUAUAUAUACUUUAUAUAGACUAAAUUUGUACAUUAAAUGCUAAAACUCUAUUUACCUUUAAUUGUAUGUUUACAAAACUAAUAAUAGCAUUGAACCAACUUGCGUAGCUUUUUUAUGUGAUACGUCAAUUCCUAAAAGAGUUUUAACAUAAGUCUUUUACCAUUAUGAUGUGCAAGUAGUCGUUGGUGAAAAAGAAAUGCUGUAUAAUUCCCUUACCAUUACUCCAUUAGGACUCUGCUUUGUGUCUGCUAUAAUUUCUGAAUUUAUUUAAAUUUAAUCCUGUUUUAUCUGUUAUUUCCUGUUUCUUUAUUUAGAAAUGUUUAUUAAGUUUGUGUGAUAAUAUAUGCUGUAUAAAUAAUGUGGGACGUGAGACAUAUUAACAACGGAAUGUCCAAUUUUGCGAUUAUCUUUGCAGGAGUUAAGAAGAAAUUAACAGCUAAAUCUUGAGAAAAAAAAUUAAAGCAAAUAUAAAGGAAUCUAGUAAAUAAUGUUAUUACUUAGAUAUUUAUCUAAUUAAAUGUAAUAAACCUUAUGAUUUUUUUUUUCUAAACUGUAUAGACUUGGUAUAUACACACUUAGUACAUGUAAGUUUCUCUUCUCAGUUGUAUAAAAUGUUAGUACCAGACAAGUAUGUUCUGUUUUCGCCAUUAUUUUCUAAUGAUUUCAAAUGGGUGAACUGUGUGAUAAUGUAGAGCAGAGAAGCACUAGAUAUGAGUCAUUUGGUUUUCUUUCAGACUGCAUGUUACAAUUUUCAACAGUGUCGAUUUCUCUUAAUGAAUAUUAUUUACAAACAUCUGUCACCAUAUAUACUUAAAUAAUUUUCAUACAAAAUAUAUGGUUAAAUCUCA